GUAUGUUGUCUACGGGCACACUUUCUCCUAAGUGAUUUAUACAAAUACAACGUAUUACGCUGUGAGCGGUAGGCUAUUUAAUUGUGUGCUGUUUCUUCUUUCUUAUAUCGAUUAGAAGCGUAUCGUACCGGACUAAGUUCAUACCAUUGUUCUAGAUCUAGGUGUUAAAAAUAAGUGUCUACUUUCGUUAUAAUAAAAAUUGGAACAAUACAUUUCACGGGCUCUCUAGUUUGAAAAGUGUUUUUUUAAGUGGAUUUAUCGGAACAAAAGCCAGUAAAUUCAAUCACAACUUGAGGCUCAAUGCUGCUCGUUUAUUAUACAAUGGAUUUCACGUAAGGGCUGAACUGCGUUAACACGCUUUCUGCGCAUGUGUAAACCUGCGCCAAAAGGGACACACAGCAGGCGGGAGAGUUUAAAAACUGGGAUUUUAUAAGAUGACGAAAAGCAAGAAAUUAAACCAGAAGUUAAAGGAAAGCCAAGCGGAGUCAGAGACGAAAGCUACAGGCAAAUCUCGAACCAUUAGUGAUAAGAACCAAGGAAAAAUAAUAAAAUCACCAAGCAAGAGUAAAAGCGAGACCAAACAGAACAGUCAUGGGUCAAAACCAG